CACAUGGAGACAGAAUCCCCAGUAGGCAUGAGGAUAGAACAGAGCUCUGGAAGGCACAGGGUUCAGAAAUCAAGAGGAGUGGGAGUUGGCAAAGAGCGUUGAAAUAAAAGAAAAGGCAGUAGGCAUGGUGUCACUGAAGAACAAAAGGGUUUAGAGACAAAUCAAUGCUGUUUGCAUCAUUCUGGGACGUUAAGUCUGUGGCAGAAAGAAAAUUACUAAACAUUUGGCAGGAUUAUUUUCUUGGUAACCUUGUGAGUGUCAAGUUUAAAAUUGGUGUGGGAUGCUGUUCUCCAGGUACCAUGAGACCCUGGCCACUUUACUCAGUGCAGCUUUGAUCAUCAGAGGGAGGCUUACCAGAUCAGGACUUUUGACCCUCUGUCACUGAAGCAGACCUCAGCUUUCAUCAGAGAAGCCAGCUACUCAUUCUCUCUCUUCUCCUCCCCCAGCUGAUGUAAUCUUACCCCAGCUGUAGAAAUGCUACAGCAUAAAGGAUCUGGAAGAACAAAUGAAGGGGGAACUCCAACUGAGCAGCUUUCAGCUGGGUUGGGAUAUUUUGUUUGGACAUCAUUCACACUCCUUUAGGUAGCCUGUCACCCAUAUUCCUCUAAGGAGCUCCAAUCAAUAAACAGCUGUUUCGCUGUACUAUACUUAGAUGGAACUAUUCCUAUUGUCUAUAAUGCUUCAGGAUCCAGAGAGAAUAUUUGUUCACAUGUCUCAAGGAAAGGUCACCAGGUGUAUCCACCUGAGAAUGGUGUCGUCAUUGCCACAAAAUUGAAUGGAAACUGUCUGAGGAAGUUGCUGCUGGUCUUGGACAGACUGGACAGGCUGUGUUCCAGGGAAAUUGUGGUGACCUCAGAUGUGAAGCAGGAAACCAAGAAGGACUAGAUUAUGGAAGAUGAUACUGAAGUCCUGUCCUUAUCCUAAACCCAAAAAACAUUGGGGAGAGCUCCAAUAACUUAAGGGGCAGGAUUAAAAAAACACAAGUAUUAAUUGGGAAGUGAUAGGUAAAUGUCCUAACCUAAUAGUUCAAAAGGGACCUGAAGUGGAAUCACAUAUUUCCUGAACCUAUGCUGGCCAUUUUUCACCAAAUUUGAAAGACUAAAAUUUGAACUAGGAAACAUACUUGAGGAAUGUAUAGAAAGGAAGAGACAUGACUUGGGACUGCCAAGUAAUUCAGUGGAUGAAUCUAACCUAUGGAGGAUUUUGUUACAAAGUAGAAGUUGGUGAAGUACUUGUGAUCUCCUACCAUAACCCAAUAUAUGUUUAGACCUCAGAGGGGUAAAAGAACUUAUCUGAAGCAUUCUGCCUCUGUAGAGAUGAUCUCUUCUCAAUGACAACUGGGCCUUCAUGGGCCAUGUUGCUUCAGAGCAGCUAACAAAUUCUCUUCUCAAAAGAUAAGUGGAGAGGUCUGAACCCUUGAUAGAUCUGGAUUUGAAACCAUUUCUUCCUAAGAUUCACUGGCUGUACUAUGGGGCCAAAAUUGAACAAAUCACCUGCUCUUGAUUUAUGGUCCCUUGGUUGUAAUAAAAGGUAUACUAAUUCCGGACUCCUGAACAGCGUUUAAAGGGAAAAAAGCAAAAACAGGUUAACACAUACAAAAGCUGGAAGAAAUGAUGAUGCCGAGGAAGGUCAUAGUGUUCCAUGGUUUCAGUGGACUUUGAGAUGCUAAGCCAGGACCUUGACUCCUGAACUUAACUGAUGUGAGAGCUGCAUAGAAUGACUUGUAAUCAUUGUGAUUGAACCUGUUGUUGUAGACUUCCACUCUUUAAGACAGGAACUGGAUCACCUUUCUGCCACUUUAGGGCCUGGAAACUCCCCAGUCUCUGGGAGGACCCAGGACUAAUGUGAUCCAUAAAGCAGUUGUUUACCUGAAGAUAUCCUUUGUCUCAUAGUGAAGUUCUACGGGAGCUGUAUAGAAAAGUCACCAUGUCUAUCCCAACAGCCUUUCUGUCAGAAGUCUUUCUUAUCUCCCAGAUGUAUCUUUCAAUCAAUAAAUCCCUCCUG
rnacentral:lncRNA from 1 species